rnacentral:rRNA from 1 species
AAAUUGAAGAGUUUGAUCAUGGCUCAGAUUGAACGCUGGCGGCAGGCCUAACACAUGCAAGUCGAACGGUAACAGGAAUCAGCUUGCUGAUUCGCUGACGAGUGGCGGACGGGUGAGUAAUGUCUGGGAAACUGCCUGAUGGAGGGGGAUAACUACUGGAAACGGUAGCUAAUACCGCAUAAUGUCGCAAGACCAAAGAGGGGGACCUUCGGGCCUCUUGCCAUCGGAUGUGCCCAGAUGGGAUUAGCUUGUAGGUGGGGUAACGGCUCACCUAGGCGACGAUCCCUAGCUGGUCUGAGAGGAUGACCAGCCACACUGGAACUGAGACACGGUCCAGACUCCUACGGGAGGCAGCAGUGGGGAAUAUUGCACAAUGGGCGCAAGCCUGAUGCAGCCAUGCCGCGUGUAUGAAGAAGGCCUUCGGGUUGUAAAGUACUUUCAGCGGGGAGGAAGGGAGUAAAGUUAAUACCUUUACUCAUUGACGUUACCCGCAGAAGAAGCACCGGCUAACUCCGUGCCAGCAGCCGCGGUAAUACGGAGGGUGCAAGCGUUAAUCGGAAUUACUGGGCGUAAAGCGCACGCAGGCGGUUUGUUAAGUCAGAUGUGAAAUCCCCGGGCUCAACCUGGGAACUGCAUCUGAUACUGGCAAGCUUGAGUCUCGUAGAGGGGGGUAGAAUUCCAGGUGUAGCGGUGAAAUGCGUAGAGAUCUGGAGGAAUACCGGUGGCGAAGGCGGCCCCCUGGACGAAGACUGACGCUCAGGUGCGAAAGCGUGGGGAGCAAACAGGAUUAGAUACCCUGGUAGUCCACGCCGUAAACGAUGUCGACUUGGAGGUUGUGCCCUUGAGGCGUGGCUUCCGGAGCUAACGCGUUAAGUCGACCGCCUGGGGAGUACGGCCGCAAGGUUAAAACUCAAAUGAAUUGACGGGGGCCCGCACAAGCGGUGGAGCAUGUGGUUUAAUUCGAUGCAACGCGAAGAACCUUACCUGGUCUUGACAUCCACGGAAGUUUUCAGAGAUGAGAAUGUGCCUUCGGGAACCGUGAGACAGGUGCUGCAUGGCUGUCGUCAGCUCGUGUUGUGAAAUGUUGGGUUAAGUCCCGCAACGAGCGCAACCCUUAUCCUUUGUUGCCAGCGGUCCGGCCGGGAACUCAAAGGAGACUGCCAGUGAUAAACUGGAGGAAGGUGGGGAUGACGUCAAGUCAUCAUGGCCCUUACGACCAGGGCUACACACGUGCUACAAUGGCGCAUACAAAGAGAAGCGACCUCGCGAGAGCAAGCGGACCUCAUAAAGUGCGUCGUAGUCCGGAUUGGAGUCUGCAACUCGACUCCAUGAAGUCGGAAUCGCUAGUAAUCGUGGAUCAGAAUGCCACGGUGAAUACGUUCCCGGGCCUUGUACACACCGCCCGUCACACCAUGGGAGUGGGUUGCAAAAGAAGUAGGUAGCUUAACCUUCGGGAGGGCGCUUACCACUUUGUGAUUCAUGACUGGGGUGAAGUCGUAACAAGGUAACCGUAGGGGAACCUGCGGUUGGAUCACCUCCUUA